GAUGAACGCUGGCGGCGUGCCUAAUACAUGCAAGUCGAGCGAACAGACGAGGAGCUUGCUCCUCUGACGUUAGCGGCGGACGGGUGAGUAACACGUGGAUAACCUACCUAUAAGACUGGGAUAACUUCGGGAAACCGGAGCUAAUACCGGAUAAUAUAUUGAACCGCAUGGUUCAAUAGUGAAAGACGGUUUUGCUGUCACUUAUAGAUGGAUCCGCGCCGCAUUAGCUAGUUGGUAAGGUAACGGCUUACCAAGGCAACGAUGCGUAGCCGACCUGAGAGAGUGGUAGGCCACCCGGGAGCUGGGACACGGUCCAGACUCCUACGGGAGGCAGCAGUAGGGAAUCGGACGCAGUGGGCGAAAGCCUGACGGAGCGGGGGCGCGUGAGUGAUGACGAUCUUCGGAUCGUGAAACUCUGUUAUUGGGGAAAAACAAAUGUGUAAGGAACUAUGCACGUAUUGACGGUACCUAGUCAGAAAGCCACGGCUAACUACGUG
rnacentral:rRNA from 1 species